UAGGGAAUCUUCGGCAAUGGGGGCAACCCUGACCGAGCAACGCCGCGUGAGUGAAGAAGGUUUCGGAUCGUAAAGCUCUGUUGUAAGAGAAGAACGUGUGUGAGAGUGGAAAGUUCACACAGUGACGGUAACUUACCAGAAAGGGACGGCUAACUACGUGCCAGCAGCCGCGGUAAUACGUAGGUCCCGAGCGUUGUCCGGAUUUAUUGGGCGUAAAGCGAGCGCAGGCGGUUUAAUAAGUCUGAAGUUAAAGGCAGUGGCUUAACCAUUGUUCGCUUUGGAAACUGUUAAACUUGAGUGCAGAAGGGGAGAGUGGAAUUCCAUGUGUAGCGGUGAAAUGCGUAGAUAUAUGGAGGAACACCGGUGGCGAAAGCGGCUCUCUGGUCUGUAACUGACGCUGAGGCUCGAAAGCGUGGGGAGCAAACAGG
rnacentral:rRNA from 1 species